GCUAUGAUGGCCGAGUGGUUAUGGCGUUUGGUUUAAGUUCAAAUGGGCUCUGCCCGCGCAGGUUCGAAUCCUGCUCAUAGCG